CCGGGGAGGGUCUUUGGAAACGGGGGAACUUGAGGGCCCAAAAGAAAAGCGGAUUUCCACGUGUAGCGGUGAAAUGCGUAAAGAUGUGGAGGAACACCAGGGGCGAAGGCGGCUUUUUGGUCUGUAACUGACGCUGAGGCGCGAAAGCGUGGGGAGCAAACAGGAUUAAAUACCCGGGUAGUCCACGCCGUAAACGAUGAGUGCUAAGUGUUAGAGGGUUUCCGCCCUUUAGUGCUGCAGCUAACGCAUUAAGCACUCCGCCUGGGGAGUACGGUCGCAAGACUGAAACUCAAAGGAAUUGACGGGGGCCCGCACAAGCGGUGGAGCAUGUGGUUUAAUUCGAAGCAACGCGAAGAACCUUACCGGGUCUUGACAUCCUCUGACAACUCUAGAGAUAGAGCGUUCCCCUUCGGGGGACAGAGAGACAGGUGGAGCAUGGUUGUCGUCAGCUCGUGUCGUGAGAUGGUGGGUUAAGUCCCGCAACGAGCGCAACCCUUGAUCUUAGUUGCCAGCAUUUAGGUGGGCACUCUAAGGUGACUGCCGGCGACAAACCGGAGGAAGGUGGGGAUGACGUCAAAUCAUCAUGCCCCUUAUGACCUGGGCUACACACGUGCUACAAUGGAUGGUACAAAGGGCUGCAAGACCGGCGAGGUCAAGCCAAUCCCAUAAA
rnacentral:rRNA from 2 species